UACGGGGGGGGCAAGCGUUGUUCGGAAUUACUGGGCGUAAAGGGCGCGUAGGCGGUUGGCUAAGUCAGCUGUGAAAACCACGGGCUUAACUCGUGGCCUGCAGUUGAGACUGUCUGGCUUGAGUGUGGGAGAGGAGAGUGGAAUUCCUGGUGUAGCGGUGAAAUGCGUAGAUAUCGUAAGGAAGACCAGUGGCGAAGGCGGGUCUCUGGACAGUUCCUGACGCUGAGGCACGAAGGCCAGGGGAGCGAACGGG
rnacentral:rRNA from 1 species